rnacentral:tRNA from 1 species
UAGCUCAGUGGAGAAGUGUUUGCUUGGCAAGCAUGAGGCCCUGGGUUCAAAUCCCAG